AUUGAACGCUGGCGGCGUGCUUAACACAUGCAAGUCGUGCGGUAACAGGCGUAGCAAUACGUGCUGACGAGCGGCGAACGGGUGCGUAAUACAUGGGAAUCUGCCUUUUAGUGGGGAAUAACCCGGCGAAAGCCGGGCUAAUGCCGCAUAAGAUCUUCGGAUGAAAGCGGGGGAUCGUAAGACCUCGCGCUGAUAGAUGAGCCCAUGCCGGAUUAGCAGUUGGUGAGGUAACGGCUCACCAAGGCGACGAUCCGUAGCUGGUCUGAGAGGACGGCCAGCCACACUGGGACUGAGACACGGCCCAGACUCCUACGGGAGGCAGCAGUGGGGAAUAUUGGACAAUGGGGGAAACCCUGAUCCAGCGACGCCGCGUGUGUGAAGAAGG
rnacentral:rRNA from 1 species